GAGGCAGUCAACUUUGCUACUGGCAGCCAGGAGUCUCCUAGGAGCUUCAAUAGCUCAAUACAUCCAGAAAAACAGAGAAAGGGAGAAAGAGUGGCAGGGAGGAGAGGUUAGAGAGAGAGAGGGAAGUUUCUGAAUCAAAGAGCAGAGGGAGAUGUUACAAGACAAGAUGAUUUCACUGGAAGCUGAGUUUUGCCAGCUUUGGGGAAAUGCUGAUGCAGAACAUCAUUUAUUUAAGGCUGAUACUCAUGGAUAGAAGAGUCAAAGUGCGAAUAUAUGCACCCUUCUAUACGGAUUCUGCAGAAAGAUAUGCUUGGGUCAUGACUCAGGUGAAUUUCCUAUGAAACUUUGUCUUUGGUAAAGCAUCCCAUUCUUGGCUGUUCCAUAUAUAUAUAUAUGGUAAGUUUGGGAGUGGCCUUGCUAGUAAAGAAUAAAUUAUUUACUUGGUUCUAGCUAUUUACAAAGUUGCUGGUGACUAAUUGCUGGAAAGAAGCUGGGACGUUCUGUGGCCCCUCCAUUUUAUAUCCCCUCCCUUUGGUUCUCUAGGAAAUUGAGUUCAGGAAAGCUACCAGGAAUAAAACUCUUACUUUUUA
rnacentral:lncRNA from 1 species